CUUGAGCCUCUGCUUUCUGGACCUUGGAGAUCCUGAGUGAGUCACAGGCUUCAAUCUGUGGAGACCCCAAGGCCUCGGCAUCUGGCAAGAUACCCAGGCCUAUCAGUGGCACCCCACAGGGGCUCCAGGAGAAGAUAAUCUGAGGAAGAAGGUGUUGGUUGCUGGCCUUGCUAGAGAGAAGAACAGGACUUUCCACAGACAGCUAUUGAGUAGUCCGACUCUGGACACAGCCUCAGGUCACAAUGGGCCAAUGGAAGUCAGGACAGGA